CGAAGUGACCGAAUGCUUGCAAGGUUGUAGAGAAACUGCAUCGCCCUUACACCGCUGGUGGGACUUAUGGAAAACAGUUUGCUUCCUAUAAAAGUAAGCAUGCAACCACCAAUGAUAGUUGGAUUCUUGAGCACUUACCCCAAAGAAACGCAAACUUGUCGUUGGCUACAUAACGGCUUUGCCGUGAGGCCCACAUCCUAGUCCAUAGAACUUGUGAGUAUGGUACCUUAUAUGGCAAAAGGGUCUUUGCAGUUGUGAUUAAGUUAACGAUCUUGACAUGGAGAGAUUAUUUUGGAUGGUUCAAGUGGGCCCAAUAUAAUCAGAAGGGCCUUUAUAAGAGGGAGGCAGAAGGGCCAGAGUCAGAAGAUCUUGUGAUGUUGGACGCAACACUUGGAAUGCCGCCAUGAGCCCAGGAACGCCAGCCAACUCUGGAAAGAAAGGCAGGGAUCAGAUUCGCCCCUAGAAUUUCCAGAAGGAACUCAGACUUUUUUUUUUUUUUUGGCCAUGCCCCAUGGCAUGAGGAACUUCCCUGACCAGGGAUCAAACCCUUGCCCCCUGCAUUGGAAGCUCCGAGUCUUAACCACUAGACCACCAGGGAAGCCUGGAACUCAGGCUUCUGAUCUCCACAACUGCAAGAUAGCAAAUUUGAGGUUUUUAAAUUAAGUGUGUGGUAAUUUAUUACAGCCACAAUAGGAAACUAAUGCACUUUUGUGUUCGCACAAAAACCUGUACGCAUAUUUUUAUAGCAGCUUUAUUCAUAAUAGCCCAAAACUAGGUGUCCUUCAGUAGGUGAAUGGUUAAACAUUCUGUGCUAUGUCCACACCUGGAAUACUAGUCAGUAAUAAAAGGGAAGGAACUGCUGACGGACGAAACAACUUGAGUCUUACGGUGAGUGAAAAAAGCCAGUCCUGAAAGUUUACAUGCUAUGUGAUUCCAUUUAUAUAACAUUCUUGAAAUGACAAAAUUAUAGAAGAAGGACAGAUUAGUGGUUCCCAGGGAUUGGGGACAAUGGCCAG